rnacentral:RNase_P_RNA from 2 species
GGAGUUAGCUGGAUAGCCGCUGCUUCAUGAAUUUCCUGAAAAUGGUAAUUGUAUGGAAGGAGAGGAAAGUCCGGGCUCCACAGGGCAGGGUGCCAGUUAAUGUCUGGGAGGCGAAAGCUUACGACAAGUGCAACAGAGAGAAUAUCGCCGAUGGCUAAAUUUCUUAAGAAAAGAAAAUAGUGCACAGGCAAGGGUGAAAAGGUGCGGUAAGAGCGCACCGUGCGGCUGGUAACAGUUCGUAGCAAGGUAAACUCCACCCGGAGCAAGACCAAGUAGGCUUCUAUUAUAUUGCGUUGCCCGCGUAAGGAAGCGGGUAGGUUGCUUGAACCAGUGAGUGAUUGCUGGUCUAGAUGGAUGGCUAUCAUCGCGCGAGCGGUACAGAACCCGGCUUAUAUGUUGACUCCAUUU